rnacentral:tRNA from 3 species
GGGCCCGUAGUCUAGUGGACAAGGCGCGAGGCUUCGGACCUCGUUUUCGCGGGUUCGAAUCCCGCCGGGCUCA